rnacentral:misc_RNA from 1 species
CUAUAACGCUGGGGAGCAAGUGCAAUGGUGUCUCUCCACAUUGGGGUAUGUUAAAGAUUUUUCGAGGCAAUAUGCAACUGAGUCACUGCCAGGAGCGUUCCCUUCUAUUGUUGCUGGUGCCCUGCGAUCUCUUUUUGACCGAAUUGCUGAUAUGGAUAUGGAGUGUCGCACUAGGCUCAUCUUUUGGUUUUCUCAUCACCUAUCAAAUUUCCAGUACUUUUGGCCAUGGGAUGACUGGGCUUUUGUCAAAGAUCUCCCGAAGUGUGCUCCACAUCGGGUUUUUGUUCAGAGCAUUGAAAAUGCGCCAGAGUUGGAAGAGUUACUUCCACCAAAGGGUGGACCCUGCUUUAAGUUCAGCAAUGAAGAUGAUGGAGAAAACACACAAGGCCAAGCACUUUCAAUUGAAUUAAACACCAUGGUGAGGGGAAAGAAAACUGUCCGUGGAAUUAUUUCAUGGAUAGAGGAAAAUGUAAUUUCAGUGAAUGGUCACAAAGUUGCCGUUGAAGUUGUCAUCCAGACGCUUCUGGAUAUUGGCUCGAAAAGUUUCACUCAUCUAAUGACUGUUUUGGAGAGAUAUGGUCACAUCAUUUCUAAGUUAU